rnacentral:rRNA from 1 species
UACGAAGGGGGCUAGCGUUGCUCGGAAUCACUGGGCGUAAAGGGUGCGUAGGCGGGUCUUUAAGUCAGGGGCGAAAUCCUGGAGCUCAACUCCAGAACUGCCUUUGAUACUGAAGAUCUUGAGUUCGGGAGAGGUGAGUGGAACUGCGAGUGUAGAGGUGAAAUUCGUAGAUAUUCGCAAGAACACCAGUGGCGAAGGCGGCUCACUGGCCCGAUACUGACGCUGAGACGCGAAAGCGUGGGGAGCAAACAGG